AUGAAUAGCUCACUUUCCAUUGCUAGUUGGACUGUGCGGGGCUUGAACAGUGGAGCAAGGAGGGUUGCAGUUCGCGCCAUGCUUGAUCAACUUUCGUGCUCUAUAAUAUGUUUGCAGGAGUCCAAGCUUGCUACCGUCGCACAUGCCCAUAUUGUAGAAAUUCUGGGUCCCAUUUUUGAUCAGCAUGUUGUGCUUCCUGCAGAUGGCACCCGUGGGGGUGUGAUACUUGGUUGGCGC
rnacentral:rRNA from 1 species